CAGCAUAAAAUCUCGACACCACGGUAAAUAGAUCGUAUAAUUUGGUAGCGCUGUUUUUGGACAAUUGUUUAAUGAAACACAAUUAUAAAAUGUUCAGGUUUCUAAAGGUGCUGCAAACAAGAAUGGCUAAUAAUCUGACCCAAUUACAGAUGAAAAUAUGUGAACUCUUUAAUUCAAAUAUGAGCCACUUUUUCUUAUUUGUUGCCAAUCUGGCGACUUUCUGAAGAUGUGGGAAAAAGUUUUAUCAAAGCCAUACGAACGAAGUUUUCAGAAGCUUCUAGAAGCCAACAUAUAAAUAACCAUAUACGGCUUUGAGAGCUCGGACGAGUCAAUUUUUAAUCAGCUGUGGGUUCAAAGACAGUUACUUGAACUGAGUUUUAGAGUUUACUCUGUGAGCGGUUUGAAAUUUACAGUAUUUCCCGGGCGCCAAGGAAGAAUUGCUUAAUAUUCGCAUUUUGCCUGAGCUCUUUGUUUUGCUGCGCGUCGUUAUUAUUUGUAAUAAAUUAUCAAUGUUUUUCCAAGGCAUCAAAGAUUGAUUAUUCAAAGAUAUACAGCCACGAAUAUGUACCUCACAAGAACAUGUAUCUGUUUGAUUUGUUAAAGCUGUUCUGGGCGAAAGAUAAUAAAAUUAUCUAAACAAAGUAUCUUGAAAUAAAACACGAAAAGUCCAAAUAAAUAUACCUGUAUUUUUCCGAAUAAAUAUUUUCAGUCUGAAUUAAUAUAAGUGUAUUAUAAAGAGUAUUACUUUAAAUUAAUUUCGAAUGUAA